rnacentral:rRNA from 1 species
CCUACGGGUGGCAGCAGUGAGGAAUAUUGGUCAAUGGGCGCGAGCCUGAACCAGCCAAGUAGCGUGAAGGAUGACUGCCCUACGGGUUGUAAACUUCUUUUAUAAAGGAAUAAAGUGAGGCACGUGUGCCUUUUUGUAUGUACUUUAUGAAUAAGGAUCGGCUAACUCCGUGCCCGCAGCCGCGUUAAUACGGAGGAUCCGAGCGUUAUCCGGAUUUAUUUGGGUUAAAGGGAGCGUAGAUGGGUUUUUAAGGCAGUUGUGAAAGUUUGCGGCUCAACCGUAAAAUUGCAAUUGAUAAUGGCAGCCUUGAGUACAGUUGAGGUAGGCGGAAUUCGUGGUGUAGCGGUGAAAUGCUUAGAUAUCACGAAGAACUCCGAUUGCGAAGGCAGCCUACUAAACUGCCACUGACAUUGAUGCUCGAAAGUGUGGGUAUCAAACAGGAUUAGAUACCCCGGUAGUC